UAUGACAGGUUAUUUCCCAAAGUGC
rnacentral:piRNA from 1 species